CCUACGGGCGGCAGCAGUGAGGAAUAUUGGUCAAUGGACGAGAGUCUGAACCAGCCAAGUAGCGUGAAGGAUGACUGCCCUAUGGGUUGUAAACUUCUUUUAUAUGGGAAUAAAAUGUUCCACGUGUGGGAUUUUGUAUGUACCAUAUGAAUAAGGAUCGGCUAACUCCGUGCCAGCAGCCGCGGUAAUACGGAGGAUCCGAGCGUUAUCCGGAUUUAUUGGGUUUAAAGGGAGCGUAGGUGGAUUGUUAAGUCAGUUGUGAAAGUUUGCGGCUCAACCGUAAAAUUGCAGUUGAAACUGCCAGUCGUGAGUACAGUAGAGGUGUGCGGAAUUCGUGGUGUAGCGGUGAAAUGCUUAGAUAUCACGAAGAACUCCGAUUGCGAAGGCAGCUCACUGGACUGCAACUGACACUGAGGCUCGAAAGUGUGGGUAUCAAACAGGAUUAGAUACCCCUGUAGUC
rnacentral:rRNA from 1 species